rnacentral:rRNA from 1 species
UACGUAGGGGGCUAGCGUUGUCCGGAAUCAUUGGGCGUAAAGCGCGUGUAGGCGGUCCGGUAAGUCCGCUGUGAAAGUCGGGGGGGCUCAACCCUCGGAUGCCGGUGGAUACUGUCGGGCUUGAGGUACGGAAGAGGCGAGUGGGAAUUCCUGGUGGUAGCGGGUGAAAAUUGCGGCAGAUAUCAAGGAGGAACACCAAGUUGCGAAGGG